rnacentral:rRNA from 1 species
UACGGAGGGUGCAAGCGUUAUCCGGAUUUACUGGGGUUAAAGGGUGCGUAGGUGGGUGAAUAAGUCAGCGGUGAAAUCUCCGGGCUUAACUCGGAAACUGCCAUUGAUACUAUUCGUCUUGAAUAUCCUGGAGGUGAGCGGAAUAUGUCAUGUAGCGGUGAAAUGCUUAGAUAUGACAUAGAACACCUAUUGCGAAGGCAGCUCACUACGGGAUUAUUGACACUGAGGCACGAAAGCGUGGGGAUCAAACAGG